rnacentral:tRNA from 1 species
GGGGGAUUAGCUCAGUUGGUAGAGCGGCUGUUUCGCAAUCUGUAGGUCGGGGGUUCGAAUCCCCCAUCCUCCA